rnacentral:lncRNA from 1 species
GAGGAGAUCCUAUAUAUAGGGUCACUCUCAAUCAAAUUUUUACUUUUCACUAUCUUUGGUGGUGCUGGGACUCUGUCGGGUUGUUGCCCUAACGCCCAAGGUUAUCGCUCCCAGCUUUCAAGUCAACUUUGCCUUUCUUCUUUCUUUUGAAGUCUUCUAUCUUCUUCAGAGUAAUUCUCACGGCUAGGACUUCUCCUUUUCGGGAAGAUCGAUCAGAGAAUCUGACUGAUGAGUCCCAGUCGAGUCCAGAUGUGGAGUCCUUUUCACUUUCGGGAUCGAAUGUCGAACGGCUCCGGGAGU